rnacentral:lncRNA from 1 species
UGGGAACUGGCUGGCACACAGUGGAUCUCUUCCUUAGCUACCUCCUGUUGGUGGUUGUGUAUAUCUAAACGGAAAAUGACAGCCAGAAAACACCACGAGAAAGAAAGCAGCUGCUCUAACGAGGAGAGCAGGUUGAUGUGGAGCGGGUAAUUCCCGGGAAUAUGUCUUCACACCUAGAAGUCAGACCACCCUGGGUUGCUGAGAUGCAGGAGCUCGCCCAGCAGCUUCACAGUGUCCAGGGGCUUUUUCUAGAAAAAAAAUGUUGUGACUGAACCUCCAUUGUAUUUGCUUUUAUUUGUAGCACACAUAUGUAUAGCACCUAAAACAUGAUGCUAGAAAUAAACAUCUGUAUUAGAAACUUCUAAGGUAGAAAUUAAUCUCUCGGAAGUGCCUCUUCACAGCCAGGUGACAUGUCAGAGCCACUCAGGAAAGGCUUACCCCAACUCCUGAACCAAGCAGCCUCCCAGAACUUAGCUCCUGGGAAGAACUUCUCAAGACCAUUCUCAUUUCAACAAAGCUCUGGUAUAACAGGGCACCUGGGGGG